rnacentral:rRNA from 7 species
GUGACCUCGGAUCAGGUAGA